CCUACGGGUGGCUGCAGUCGAGAAUCAUUCACAAUGGGGGAAACCCUGAUGGUGCGACGCCGCGUGGGGGAAUGAAGGUCUUCGGAUUGUAAACCCCUGUCAUGUGGGAGCAAAUUAAAAAGAUAGUACCACAAGAGUAAGAGACGGCUAACUCUGUGCCAGCAGCCGCGGUAAUACAGAGGUCUCAAGCGUUGUUCGGAAUCACUGGGCGUAAAGCGUGCGUAGGCUGUUUCGUAAGUCGUGUGUGAAAGGCGCGGGCUCAACCCGCGGACGGCACAUGAUAAUGCGAGACUAGAGUAAGGGAGGGGGAACCGGAAUUCUCGGUGUAGCAGUGAAAUGCGUAGAUAUCGAGAGGAACACUCGUGGCGAAGGCGGGUUCCUGGACAUUAACUGACGCUGUGGCACGAAGGCCAGGGGAGCGAAAGGGAUUAGAUACCCCAGUAGUC
rnacentral:rRNA from 1 species